rnacentral:rRNA from 1 species
GAUUAACGCUGGCGGCGUGCAUAACACAUGCAAGUCGAACGAUGAAACUCAUUAGAUUUCUUCGGAAUGAAAAUGAAUGGAUUAGUGGCGAACGGGUGAGUAACGCGUGAGUAACCUGCCUUACACAAGGGGAUAGCCUCUGGAAACGGAGAAUAAUACCCUAUGAAACCAGACAAUCGCAUGAUAAUCUGGUCAAAAUGGUUAGUGGUGUAAGAUGGACUUGCGUCUGAUUAGCUAGUUGGUGAGAUAAAAGCUCACCAAGGCAACGAUCAGUAGCCGGCUUGAGAGAGUGUACGGCCACAUUGGGACUGAGACACGGCCCAGACUCCUACGGGAGGCAGCAGUGGGGAAUUUUGCACAAUGGGGGAAACCCUGAUGCAGCGACGCCGCGUGAUUUAGAAGGCCUUCGGGUUGUAAAAAUCUUUUGUAUAGGAAGAAAAUGACAGUACUAUACGAAUAAGGUCCGGCUAAUUACGUG